AUGAAAGCGCGUGUCAUCAAAGCGGGCGUCACAAGAACGCUGAGCAACAGCUGCGGUCACUAAGGUGCUUUUCCCCGUGGUAGUAUUGAAUCCCCUUCUGUAGAAACUGGGUUGUUAUACAUUGAAGUAACUGUUAUGCGACAGCUGCAGCACUGCGCAAUUUUUGCGGAGUACACUUCUGGCCGGUCUUCAUCGCUCUGAAACACCGUCAUCGUGCCUUGAAUCAUCUACUCGUGUCUGUGACCGGGAGCUUCGUCAGCGAUUGGUGAACGAAAUCAGCGCCAUCUGCUCGUGGCUGUGCUUGGGAGCUCCGCCGGCAAGUGGCAGAUGGGACCGGCGUCACCGCGGCCACGUCAUCACUCUCGGCUUGCAGACGCACAGCAGCAGUGGCAGUGCGCUGCCUCAUCUUGCUAUUUUAGACGAUGCCGCGUGUAGCGGCCAGCAGUUGCG